rnacentral:rRNA from 1 species
GAUGAACGCUGGCGGCGUGCCUAAUACAUGCAAGUCGAGCGAACGGACGAGAAGCUUGCUUCUCUGAUGUUAGCGGCGGACGGGUGAGUAACACGUGGAUAACCUACCUAUAAGACUGGGAUAACUUCGGGAAACCGGAGCUAAUACCGGAUGAUAUUUUGAACCGCAUGGUUCAAAAGUGAAAGACGGUCUUGCUGUCACUUAUAGAUGGAUCCGCGCUGCAUUAGCUAGUUGGUAAGGUAACGGCUUACCAAGGCAACGAUGCAUAGCCGACCUGAGAGGGUGAUCGGCCACACUGGAACUGAGACACGGUCCAGACUCCUACGGGAGGCAGCAGUAGGGAAUCUUCCGCAAUGGGCGAAAGCCUGACGGAGCAACGCCGCGUGAGUGAUGAAGGUCUUCGGAUCGUAAAACUCUGUUAUUAGGGAAGAACAUAUGUGUAAGUAACUGUGCACAUCUUGACGGUACCUAAUCAGAAAGCCACGGCUUACUACGUG